CCUACGGGAGGCAGCAGUGGGGAAUUUUGCGCAAUGGGCGAAAGCCUGACGCAGCGACGCCGCGUGAGGGAUGAAGGUCUUCGGAUCGUAAAGCUCUGUCAGCAGGGAAGAACGGUCGCUGUGCUAAUCAGCAGUGAAUUGACGGUACCUGCAAAGAAAGCACCGGCUAACUCCGUGCCAGCAGCCGCGGUAAUACGGAGGGGGCGAGCGUUAAUCGGAAUUACUGGGCGUAAAGCGCGCGCAGGCGGUAUGUCAAGUCAAGUGUGAAAUCCACGCGCUCAACGGGGGAACUGCAUUUGAAACUGGCAAACUGGAGUGUGUGAGAGGAGAGUGGAAUUCCAGGUGUAGGAGUGAAAUCCGUAGAUAUCUGGAGGAACAUCAGUGGCGAAGGCGACUAUCUGGCACAUAACUGACGCUGAGGAGCGAAAGCGUGGGUAGCAAACAGGAUUAGAUACCCUAGUAGUC
rnacentral:rRNA from 1 species